UUUAUUUUGCUUAUGUCAAAAGUUUGUUGUGAUGUGAAACUUAGAACUUAGUUUUUGGCUUUGUUUUACUGUUUUACAUUAAUUUUUAUUGGUUCUAGCGCCUAAAACGCUUAGUUCAAGCACUUAAAACUUUAAAAUGCUUCCUGUGCAAAGAUUUUUAAUUAACGAGUUAGAAAAUCGGCAACGAAUGCAAGAAAAUCGUCUUGAAAAACGAGUGAUGAGAGACAUGAGUGACCCUUUUGCAUUACCGGAUUGCAGAUUUUCGGAACUCUUCCGGUUAAAUAAAGACCUAAUGAUAUAUCUUUUUAACAAUUUAGUUCCGCACUUGGAGCAGGAGCAGAGGCAGACUCGUGUUCCACGAGAAACAAGAAUUUUCAUUGCUUUAAGGUUCUUUGCUAUAGGCAAUUACCAACGGGGCAUGGGAGAAGAAUUUAUUCUAUCUUCAAGUCAGCAAGUGGUAAGUAGAUGCAUAGAAGAGGUUGCACAAUGCAUUUCUCAUCAUUUGGGACCACUAUGGGUAAAAUUUCCUGCUGGCAAUGAAACAAGAAAUCAGGUAAAAGCCAGUUUUAUGGAAAAAGCUGGUUUUCCGGGUAUAAUUGGCUGCAUUGACUGUACCUACAUAGCAAUUUUGGCUCCUUCAGAGGAAGAACAUAAUUAUGUAACCGCAAAGGUUUCCAUUUUAAAAAUGUUCAAAUUAUUUGCAAUUCAGAUUUGCAAAUAACGAACAUUAACCCAAGAUAUCCAGGAUCAACUAAUGAUGCUUUCAUAUGGAGAGGGUCUCAGGUGAGACGCUUAUUGAAAUCUGAAUAUGAUAGAGGUGAAAGAUCCAACUGGCCCUUAGGAGAUUCUGGGUAUCCUCUAGCACCAUGGUUGAUGACACCACAUGAAAAUCCUGACCCAGAGACCCCUGAAGAACGCUUCAAUAGGUCUCACAAGAUUACACGAAGCAUGUACUUACCUUUUACCCUAAAUCACAGAAUACAAAUAUAAAUAAAAAAAUAAAAAACUGAAAAUAAA